GCCGGGGUGGCGAAACUGGUAGACGCACAGGACUUAAAAUCCUGUUCUCCGCAAGGGGAGUGUCGGUUCGAUUCCGAUCCCCGGCA
rnacentral:tRNA from 1 species